AUUGAACGCUGGCGGCAGGCCUAACACAUGCAAGUCGAGCGGAUGACGGGAGCUUGCUCCUUGAUUCAGCGGCGGACGGGUGAGUAAUGCCUAGGAAUCUGCCUGGUAGUGGGGGACCACGUUUCGAAAGGAACGCUAAUACCGCAUACGUCCUACGGGAGAAAGUGGGGGAUCUUCGGACCUCACGCUAUCAGAUGAGCCUAGGUUGGAUUAGCUAGUUGGUGAGGUAAAGGCGCACCAAGGCGACGAUCCGUAACUGGUCUGAGAGGAUGAUCAGUCACACUGGAACUGAGACACGGUCCAGACUCCUACGGGAGGCAGCAGUGGGGAAUAUUGGACAAUGGGCGAAAGCCUGAUCCAGCCAUGCCGCGUGUGUGAAGAAGGUCUUCGGAUUGUAAAGCACUUUAAGUUGGGAGGAAGGGCAGUAAGUUAAUACCUUGCUGUUUUGACGUUACCAACAGAAUAAGCACCGGCUAACUUCGUGCCAGCCGCCGCAGUAAGAC
rnacentral:rRNA from 1 species